UGUCCAGGGAUGAGAAUCGAAACCCCAGUGUUCCGCUUACCGGGAAGAUGCCAUGUCCACUAGGCUACCCUGGAC
rnacentral:tRNA from 1 species